GGAGUUUGGACCGUGUCUCAGUUCCAAUGUGGGGGACCUUCCUCUCAGAACCCCUACCGAUCGAGGGCUUGGUGGGCCGUUACCCCGCCAACUACCUAAUCGGACGCAUCCCCAUCCAUGGCCGGUAAACCUUUAGUCCUCGUUAGAUGCCUUCAAAGGACGCCAUAGGGCAUUAAUCCGCUUUUCAACGGGCUAUUCCCUAGCCAUGGGCAGGUUGGAUACGCGUUACUCACCCGUGCGCCGGUCGCCAUCAGAGUUUGCAAGCAAACCCCAUGCUGCCCCUCGACUUGCAUGUGUUAAGCCUGUAGCUAGCGUUCAUC
rnacentral:rRNA from 1 species